rnacentral:rRNA from 1 species
CCUACGGGAGGCAGCAGUGAGGAAUAUUGGUCAAUGGACGAGAGUCUGAACCAGCCAAGUAGCGUGAAGGAUGACUGCCCUAUGGGUUGUAAACUUCUUUUAUAAGGGAAUAAAAUGUUCCACGUGUGGGUUUUUGUAUGUACCUUAUGAAUAAGGCUCGGCUAACUCCGUGCCAGCAGCCGCGGUAAUACGGAGGAUCCGAGCGUUAUCCGGAUUUAUUGGGUUUAAAGGGAGCGUAGAUGGGUUGUUAAGUCAGUUGUGAAAGUUUGCGGCGCAACCGUAAAAUUGCCAGUGAAACUGGCAGUCUUGAGUACAGUAGAGGUAGGCGGAAUUCGUGGUGUAGCGGUGAAAUGCUUAGAUAUCACGAAGAACUCCGAUUGCGAAGGCAGCUUACUAGACUGCAACUGACAUUGAUGCUCGAAAGUGUGGGUAUCAAACAGGAUGAGAUACCCGAGUAGUC